rnacentral:rRNA from 1 species
UCCUGGCUCAGGAUGAACGCUGCGGCAUGCCUAAUACAUGCAAGUCGAACGGAUAUCUUCGGAUAUGAGUGGCGAACGGGUGAGUAACACGUAGGGAACCUGCCUGCAUGAGCGGGAGAACUUCUGGAAACGGAAGCUGAUACCGGAUGAGCAAAGAGGAGGCAUCUCUUUUUGGAAAAGGGGACAAGAGUCCCGCAUGCAGAUGGACCUGCGGUGCAUUAGCUGGUUGGAGAGGUAACGGCUCACCAAGGCGACGAUGCAUAGCCGGCCUGAGAGGGCGGACGGCCACACUGGGACUGAGACACGGCCCAGACUCCUGCGGGAGGCAGCAGUAGGGAAUUUUCGUCAAUGGGGGGAACCCUGAACGAGCAACGCCGCGUGAGCGAGGAAGGUCUUCGGAUCGUAAAGCUCUGUUGCCGGGGACAAAAGGCAGAAAGAGUGGAAAGCUUUCUGAGUGAUGGUACCCGGCGAGGAAGUCACGGCUAACUACGUG